rnacentral:piRNA from 1 species
UGGUUUAUACUGGCUGUGUGGGCCUUGC